UACGUAGGGGGCAAGCGUUGUCCGGAAUUAUUGGGCGUAAAGAGCGUGUAGGCGGCCAGAUAAGUCCGCUGUGAAAUCUCGAGGCUCAACUUCGAGCUGUCGGUGGAAACUGUCUGGCUAGAGUCCGGAAGAGGAGAAUGGAAUUCCUGGUGUAGCGGUGAAAUGCGCAGAUAUCAGGAAGAACACCCGUGGCGAAGGCGGUUCUCUGGGACGGUACUGACGCUGAGGAGCGAAAGCGUGGGGAGCGAACAGG
rnacentral:rRNA from 1 species